rnacentral:tRNA from 1 species
GUGGCUCAGUGGGAGAGCACUUGCCUAGCAUGCACAAGGCCCUGGGUUCAAUCCCCAGC